UACAGAGGUGGCAAGCGUUGUUCGGAAUUACUGGGCGUAAAGGGCGCGUAGGCGGUUCGGUAAGUCCUGUGUGAAAUCCCUCGGCUCAACCGAGGACGUGCACCCGAAACUGGCGGGCUCGAGUAUGGAAGAGGGUCGCAGAAUUCCCGGUGUAGAGGUGAAAUGCGCAGAUAUCGGGAGGAACACCAAUGGCGAAGGCAGCUCGCUGGGACGGUACUGACGCUGAGACGCGAAAGCGUGGGGAGCAAACAGG
rnacentral:rRNA from 1 species